ensembl:lincRNA
CGGAUGUUACAAUGCCUUCUCAUUAGGUAGAGAAGGGGCCUGGCCUGGGUCCCAACUCUGCCAGGUCAGCUUAUCCCAUGAGAGCACCAGGCCUCGGUGUUGACUAGCUGUCUGUAGACAAUAAGGUGCGAUGCCCCCCUACCAGACCUGGUCUGACGAGCCCUCCUGGUAGUGGGUAGGAAGCACGUUCCAAACCUGAGGCCUCUGUGAGCGCACACAGGGAGUAAGCUUCGGUGGAGGGUGACUUGCGAGAUUCGGAGAUAAGAGGAGACUCUGAGCAGUACUCAGGCCCCGAAGGAGGACAGAGGCCAGGGCAGCCACAGCGGACGGGCAGAGGAAGCGCCGCUCUUGCCCAAGGGAAGCCCCUCCACCUCGAAGUCCCUCAACCAACGGAAGUGGAGCCGAAACCACCAAGUGCCUUGGAUCAACGGGGAAGAAUUCCAAACCCCAACAAAGGUCACCACUGAAUGGAGGUGUAAACAUCCACUGAUAUAAACAUUCUCCAAGCCACUCUGAAGUCAUGGCCUCUGGAAGGAAACAGCCUCAGCUUGGAAGUGGUGGGGAUGGAUUUCCCUUACCAUCAGCGCUAUUCAGGGACUCAGGGCAGGCGCUGUGCUGCUGAGCUAUAUCCCUGGCCCCUGCUGGCUACAUUAACUGACUGUAGAAUCAGAGAAGUCCGGGAUCAGCUGGCUCCAACACAGAGACACCAUGGCAGAGCAAAACUGUUUAGUUCACAGUGGCCAGGAAGAGCAAGGAAAGUACGCCAGAGUAGAAGUGAUGAGGAACAAGAUACGCACCCCAAGGCCAUGCCUGCAAGAUUCACCCAGCCACACCUGGAAAUGUGCCCCACCAAGCCCUGGGGCAGAUCUCAAAGCCAAGCCAGUUGAAACUCCAACUUAACCACUGCAAUGCUCUUAGAGAAUCCCCUUCCGCAUUGAAUAAGGCAACCAGGUAAUAAGGUACAUGGGUUCCCAGUAGAAAAUUUUGGAAAAAGUCGAGUGUGACUUCUGAACCUGGGUCAUAAAAGACAGCAUGUGUUUCCCCUUAAUCUCUCUAGGACCAUGUGCUCUGGAGGGAACUAGCUGCCAUAUCAAGGUGUCCUGUGGGCUGUCCACAUAGCAAGGAGCUGAGGCUUCCCACCAACAGCCAACAUUAAGUUCUUUUUUCUUUUUUUUUUCCGGUACCAGGAAUCAAACUCAUGACCUUGCGCUUGCCAGGCAGGCACUGUGCUGCUGAGCUAAAUCCCUAGCCCCUGUAUAUUAUUUGUUUGUUUGUUUUUUGUUUGUUUUCAGUACCAGGAAUCGAAUUCUCGACCUUGCGCUUGCCAGGCAGGCGCUGUGCCGCUGAGCUAAAUCCCCAGCCCAACAUUAUAAUCCCUUGCCUGUAGGUGGACAACUGAGACCCGCAUGCUCUCUGCUGGCUUUCAGGGCUCCCCAGGAGGGCUGAGUCCCUGUUGCCAGCACAGAAACUUGCUGGAUAGCACUUGCUUCCCCUCCGUGUGUCCCUAGCCCACUCCUUUACCUAAGCUGCCUGGGAUUGCAAUCCAAAUAAACCCCGCUCCAGGUCUGCUGCACUUCAAACCAAGUGAGAAGCCCCAGAUGCAAAACAAAUACCAGCUGCGGCCCCAGGGGCAAGAGGCAGGUGCGGCCGUGCUAUGCCAGGGCCUCCGCAUCAGGAGCGAGCUGCACCAGAGCAAAGCAUACCUAGACAGGGAGCCUCACAAACCCAGGCGCCCAGUGGUGGGAACCCCUAUCCCUUGGUCUCUAUGGAGACCAAGUCCCACAGUGGCGCUCUCUCUGUAUCUCCCCCAUUCAACCAAGACCACAUUCCUUUUUUAACUAAGAAAGUGGCCCAAAAAAGGAUUGUGGUCACUUUUUUAUCGGGCCUGUGGUAGAAGCAGUGGACACAGUUCAGACACCUCCAGCUCCCAGGGCCCCAAGUGACAAUGACAAGGACAGUGCAGUGGCACUGGGGCCGGUGCAGGAGCUCCUGAACUUGGAGCCAGAUGAGAAAAGGAGCCCUAUGCGGCGUCCUGAGGCCAGUGCCCAGUGUAUGCUGGGCAGUGUGCUCCUCGGGAAGCAACACUGCGAGGGAGUCCAGCUGCUGACACCCAUGGGCCUCACCCAAGGGCCUUCACCGUCCCAGACAUCUUCAGAGGCUGCUUCUGAGUCUCAGCAACGUUCCACACCAGGAUCACGGGACAGGAUAUGGAAAAGGGCCUCACAGACCACAAACCAUAAGCAAUGGUGCGGCUCAGCUGCAAGCUAUUGUUCCAGGGAUUUUUGAAGGCAAAAUCCUGUCCUUGCAUCCAGAGCCUGGCAUGGGACCUGCCGAAGGGAAAAAGCUUGUUGAAUUGCUUGUUGAAUUAAUAAACUGGUAAAUGAAUGAAUGAGCUUGGAUAGAUCAUCUUGUAUAACCAUUCAAUCCACUGAAGUAUUGCUAAGGGCCUAGUACAUGUCAGGGACAAGGGUGGCUUGAGGAAAAUCACCAACAAGAAGACAGGAUUUUUACCCUCAAGAGCUAAUGGCAGGGGCUGGGGAUUUAGCUCAGCGGCAAAGCACCUGCCUGGCAAGCGC